UGCAUCAACACAUACUAAAAAAGGCCCUAGAAGUUUUUUUCCACUUUUUUUUACUAUCCUUGAUAAAGAUGAAAGUGACAGUUUCUUAAAUUAGGUAUGUAGUAGUGAUAAAAUACAUUCCCAAGAUUAAAUGUAUUGAUUUCAUCUCAGCCUGCCUGCCAACAACGGCAAAAAUUAUAUUGCUGUGAAAGGCACCGUAUCUCGAGUUCUGAUCUAGUUCGAUCUCGCAAGUUCCCAAUUCUAAAACCCGUCACUCAUCUUGCUGUUUCCUGAUCAAUGUUUCUGUGCAGCGCUGAGCCUCGACCCAAUUAGUACCACUUAACAGCUGGUUACUGCCCACGGAAAUCACCUUCCAUUUUGCAUUGUGACUGAACCAUAAACCACCUGAGAGAAAGAAAUGCAAUUACCAGCGUCUAUCACUUUUUUGUGAUUCUUUCAGCCCUUGGUAUUAAUGUAGAGCCUGUGACAUGAACCCCAGCCUUCUGGAAUCACCACCCAUGUGAGAUGCACAGGCCCCCUGCAGUGUUUGUGGCUGCUCUGAUUUAUGCUUGGUGUUGCGUUACCAACGUCUUUAUAUUAAGGUCAGGGCUGUUUUUCCUUUGCAUACUGAAGAAUGUAGUACUUGUUUCCUCCUUAAUUGAAAAAGAACAACAACAAGAACAACAAAAAAAAACAACUGAAAACCAAAGGAUUCGGUUUGUCCUCCGAGUAUACUACUUGACCUGUAAACGUGCACGUCUUCCGGAGGAGUAAUCCUGAAAAAUCUGUUUCGUGUGGUAUUGAAUUAAAUCCGAACCGGCAUUUUACUAUUCCACAGGGGGAAAAAAACUGUCUGGGAUACAUUUGGAAAAAAGAAAAUUCGCCCUUACCCUUUUCAAACAUCACUGGCCACUCUGAUGUAAAGCGGACGUGGCAGAGAGAUGCAGAAAGGGGGAAAAAACACCUUGAUUUGGUAAAAUGAUGGAUUUGGUCGUUCACUCAGAGCACAGUCUUCUGGGUAACUAGCAUAUUUACAGCACCAGCCCAGGUAAAGUAAUAUAGACUCCAGGUUCAGCAAAGAAGACAGAACACUCAAGUUCUGGAUUUUAAAUAUGCUUAGAAAUUAAAUUUGUUGGUCUCUUCUGGUGAUACUGACACUCAGUCAGGUAUACAGAUAAGAAUGUAUUUUUUUUAAAUGGUGAUACAGCACACAUUCCCCUACACAGCAGAAAAUGAAUUUUAAAUCCCCAUCUAUUUUUUUCUUUUGCAACCCAGACACAUGAUAAUAAAUAAUUGGAAAUGAAGCUGUUUUGCAAACAUGUCAGUUUAUGUAGGCCAUAGCUAUCCUGGUGGCGAAGAUCGAGGGCAUUCACAGCUGUCAAGAGUUUAUCUUUUUCACAUUUAUUGUAUCCUUGCAGCCAAAUUCAGGAGUGAAGCGAAUUGUGGAAUUCUGCAUGGAGCUUUAAAGGUUAGGUAUGGUUUCCUGAGAAUCUGCAGACAAUGGGAUGGCUAUAAGGAGCUCGAAGAGCUGGGAUUUGAGCGCUGUUUCCACAGUGUUGCUAUGGAAUAAAUGUGCGGAGACCAGGAAUGGGCCAACUCAAGUCCUUCAGUGGACUGGAUCUUAACUAACUGAACUAAUCAUUAGAAGGAAAACAUCUGACUUUAUGGGUUCUAAACUGCUUAUUGAAAAACCAGCAUGAAUCCCGACCACGAGGAGUAAAGUCGACACUUCCUGGCGUAGGGGAACUUGGAUAUUCUGCCCAACAACAAGCUCACACGAGCACGCUACCACUUCACACGCUGGCCCGACCCCAGGGCCAGAUUUGAUCUCGACCUGUAACUCCUAUAGUCUUCCAGCAGAGGGCACUCCAGCCAUGCAGCCCCUGCCUGCUAAACACUGUGCCAGCCAUCUCCCUGACCUGUAACAGUAGCUUCCUUGAAUUGCAGGGUGGGAAUACAAAGUUGCAUCCUUUACAAUAUCAGUGUCAGCACAUACUUUUAUUGGUACCCCUAAAGGUCACUGACUGAUGUAAAUCAAUGCUAUUCCCAUUAGCACUAAAGAUUUUUUUAAACAGCCUCGGUGAAAAGCAUAUGAGAUAAAUGCUGAUAUGUUCUGAAGAGGUUCUUCUUUUGUAGCCAACUAAGAAUGUCUUUUUUGUUUGUUUUUCUUUGGGGGGGUGAACAAAGUAUUCCUUUUAGCAGCUCUCACCAGCCUGAGAGAAGGGAAAGCGAUCGAACAGGCUGCUGGGUUCCUGGCAAGCUGGCGAAGGGAAGGGAGAGACGUUUCACCUGCCUUUUGUGUGACUCGUGGAUCCUGGCACCUCUCUGGACGAUGGCACGGGGAUUGUUGUCUACAGAACGGCACGCUGUGACAAGCAGGGAGCCUGAUAAAAAAUCAGGCAUGUGACCCGAUGCUGCCCUGAGGACAGGGCUCUCCUAGAUCACCUAGGGCACUGCCUGCUGUGCAGCUUGCUAGACGCCGUCAUGUCUCUGAUGAGCUUUCAUGCAGCACCCUCUCCAAAAGUCCAGGAAAACACCUGAAAACACAACAGGGUUUUAACGCAUCAGUAAUCAGAAAUGGUACACAUUCACUAUUUCUGUUGAAACAAAUCAAUUAGGAACAAGACCACAACUGGUGAAAAGAACAUGGUAUAGUAAAGGUGCUAUAAUUUGCACCACAACAACUACACCACAUGUAAACGACAAAGCUAUACCAAUGCUCUGCUGAUCUGAGAUGUCCACCUUGUGACUACAGCCAGCACUGCUGUGUGUUCAUUAAUAUACGAAUCUGGUGUUAUUAAUCAAGCAAAACUAUAGCUGCUGCAGAAACAAAUUGCCCUGGGAAGAGCGAGCUGGUCUGCUGCUCUGUGCCAGCUCUCAGCCCCUGCUGGGGCCAGACAGAAUCACCCUCGCUGACCUCAGGCCUGCCUGGGCUCCGGGGCUUGGGCGACAUCUGCUGCUGAAGAGCACAAGGCAGCUCUGCUCCCCUAUUCGUGCUGCCCGCUAAUGAAAAAGGGACCAGAAAAUAAUGUGCAUGGAGGAAAAAAAAAAAAGGCAAUCGUUUUUGUCUGUGGAGAGGUCAGUUAUAAUAAAAAAUGAGACUGGUAGUAACUGAAA